CUGCGAAAAUCUUCCAUUGGUCACAAAGGAUGGACACAUCAAGCAAGAGCCGGUGUUGGUGUUACAGACGCGUCUGAUACCUAGGAACAAUCUUCCAGUGAUCCAAUGGCUUGUUCAAUGGGAAAAUCUCCCUCCUGACGACUCUUCUUGGGAAGAUGCAGACUUCAUCAAGCAUACCUUCCCUCAUUUCUUCAAGCAAACAAUAGAAGGCUGGCGCCAAAACAAGAUUACUCCUUGAGGACAAGUUCGUUUUUUCGAGGGGGCAUUGUCAGGACCUAAGAAGAUUCAGCACAAGUGGGUUCAGUUAUCGUACGGUCGAAAGCAGCUCAAGCUAUGAAGAUCUAACGGCUCGCAUUUGCUCACCGUUACUGUACCGUUUCAUUUGUCACCGUUACUGUUCCGUUUCUGAAAAGGCUAUAUAUAAGCCAGCGCAGCGUGUUUGUAAGGAUUCAUUUCAGUUAAGAUCAAUCCAAAAUAUUGUAUACAUUUAAACCUCCCUCUGUGAGGAAUAUACCUAGCAUAUUCGAGUCAAUACAGAUCAGAUCGAAACCCUAGUUGGUGUUCAUCUCCCAAAUCCCCCUGAUCUGAUAGUAGGGUGUGACAUGGCCUCCCUCGCGCGUCGUCCGGCGACCGGCGCCGCCGAACCCGCCAUGACCUCCACCAUGGAGUUCCUGUAGCUUGUCCCCUACCUCCUCGUCCUGUGCUCGAGGGAGACGCCCCUCCAGCGCAUCGAGGACAAGGCCCACCACCAGCCGAUCGUUGUUGCACUCGCCGGCGACCUCACCGUCCCCUCUGCACUGCCCUCCACCUCAACUGAUGCUUCUCAUCAACAGGGAUAGAUUUAGCUGGUCAUAGCUUGUGGAUGUUCUCUGUUAUUUUUUGCACACAAGGUGUUUGUGUGCUUGUCCAAGCCAAUGUUCAUGAGCUUUAUCUUUGAUAUAAAUGACAUGGCUGAGAAGGUCCCUUCAAUGAAAGGAGGAGGAGUAUAGUCUUGGCCAUGGCUGGGGAGGAAGGAGAACAUGUAAAUUGAGGAUUUUUCAGAGAGAUUAGGACUGCUUGAUUUAUCAGAGAGAAAACCUUGAUCCGGAGCUUCGUCGAUGCAGGCCUUCAUGCUGGGCCGAGGAGGAGAAGAAGGGGGGGCACGUCGAAGGUGCCGGUGGAGCGCGUCGUCGAGAUCGUUGAUGACAGCGACAUGGGCGAGGCCGUUGAGGAGGUCAUGGUUGAUGCUUUACUGCCUGAACAUGUUGACCGGGAACAAGAGGGUAAGGUGGAUGCGAGGGCGGAGGCGCAUGCCAUGGUGCAGGAUGUUGUGGAAGCCCGAUUAUUUGAGGAAGUGACAGCCACUGGGAGCAUGGAUCGACAGACUAGACAGACCAAGUCCAUUGAUCGGUUGAUUCAACAACGAAGGAAGAGGCAGAAGGUUAUAAAAAUGAGCUUGGGGAUUUACUGACCUGAAUCUUAAACAGGGCCGCCCUGCUGAUGGACUCAAGCUCCAGGUUUGCUCCUAGCACGUCUUAAUUACAUUGGCUCUUGACAAAAUGUCUAGCAUGAUGGAUAAUGAGUUCAUUCUGUGAUGCCACAUAGAUAUGCAAAGUCAUAGUCCUGCAUGUAUGCACAUCUACUGAUACAUACAAGCCGAUCGACGGGCACACACAUUAGUAAGUUCUGCUACUAGCCUAAUCAAGAGCCUUUUAUACAACCCCGCGAAAAAAGCCUUUUAUACAGCCUUGCAGAUAAAAAUGAAUUGAAUUAUGAGCAUCUGACAACUACGAUCAAUUUCCUGGUUAUACUUCCUGAAAUAAAGGUGGCCGACCAAAUGAAAGGAUGGAUGCUUUCCUUUAUGUGAGAUUAUAUAAAUUAUCUUGCUUGAUCUGCAAUGUUUCUUUGGAAAUUUUUUAUGAAAGACACAUGACACAUAGUUUGCUGGAUAGGUCUAAGAUAAAUAUUUCAGUUAUAGGAGGAUAAUUUUAAAUGGGUAAUACUAUUACCGCCAUCUGCUUGGCCUGUUGUGCUUUCGGUAGAGCUUUCAUAUUUCAACACAAAAAAACAACAAUGCAAGUUGGGACCAGAAUAUCACACACAUCCUCAAAGGAAACAUCAGUUGGGAGUGCUCAAGUAUUCAGUUUCUUGGAUGAUGUAUUAUGUUCUCGCUUAUCAUGUACUCCCUUUGUAAACAAAUAUAAAACGUUUCUUGGAUGAUGUAUUAUGUUCUCGCUUAUCAUGUUACAGAGGGAGUAUGUUUCUAGAUAUCCGUCAACUCCAAUGUUUCAUUUAUCUACUCUCUGAAUAUGAAGAAGAUAGGCUUGCAAAGUAGCUUUUUACGUGAAUAAUGUGACAAACAUUUAUAUCUUAUAACUGCAAACAUUUUUUUGUUUAGUCCGUCACCGAGCAAAUGUUUGGGAGUUGGAAAUUAUUUGGAUACACAUGAUCUCAGAAAAGAAAGAUUCACACAUACUACAACCAAAGGACCUCCUUCACUCUCUGUGCAACUACAGAAAUUAUCCUUAUGAGCAGCACCCUAGAUUUAGUUGUGGGUUCUAACAUAUUAGAGAUGUGGUUAGAAUACCUACUGCUCUGAACAAUUAAGUGGUUUGUAUAAACCACCGAUUCCCUCGUGCAGUGUACAAUGUGAUAUGGAUCAUCAUAGGAUCAAACUUAAUACAGGAAGCACACACUUAAUUGUUUCUGAACUAUACUACUUCUUAUGUUCAUUCUUCUGUCCUUUUAAAUCUCUAAUUUAGUUGCAAGUAUUUUAUUUGUUAUCAUUUGGCUUCUUAAGAACAAAUCUAGCAAGCAACGACUCGACUGAUGAAAGAGAUGUUGACCAUCUUUGCUGCAGUGAGGUACCUUCUUGAUCAUGUUACUAAUCUGUAUCUACAUUAUUCAGAUGUGAAACUCAUCCUUCUUAAAACAUCUGCAACGCAUAUGUGCACUCUGAAAUGGUAAAAUAUUUGCAUUCUAUAGCACUUCAAGUUUGUGUAGCAUCCCCAUAUUUCCCGCGGCCCAGUUCCUUGAACUGGCUAACCCUUAUUGAUGUCAUAUGUCCUGAACUGACUCUCAUGACCAAGUUCCUCAACCCGUCUGCCCCUCAAAGGCAUGUUGUGCAGUGGCUCAAUUCAUCGCAUUGUGAUUGAACACAUUAGGAUUAGGUGAACACUGAAAACAUCGGUGAGGGUGGUCAGGAAGAAAAGCUAAAACCACCAGACGAAGGGGCGCUGGUCUCUGGUUCUUGGCGAAGGCCACCGCAGCUCAUCUCCAAGACCUCUGCUGUCGUGUGUCCCCCAAGUUCUUCACCGAAUCUCCUCGCCCGCUGGCUGCUGCUCUUCUUCUCCCUCGAACACAUCUCUGCUUCUGAUCCUUUGCUGCCGCCCGUAACCUGCUGCUUCUGCUCUCUGAUGCUGCACUCUGUACCUCUCCUCCAACGAACUGUUGUUCCUAAUCUUCUCUGAACCCAAACUGUUGCUGCUCCGCUUCCUCUCUGAACCUCAGUCUGCUGCUGCUUCUCUGAUUCAGAGUAAACCAAUAAACAGGAAUUGUAUGGACUUCUAGGUCGUUUUUCCUUUGGUAACAGUUAUUGUUAGUUCUAAACAAUUUUUCAGUGCCACGAUUAGGCUUCCAAGGGUUCAGAGAAUGAUGAAGAAGCCUUUUAUAUCACACACUAUAUAACAUCAUGGAAUCACAACCUUAUAACAAAUAAUUUAAGAGGCUAUGUUCUGGUUUGCUGUAUCUCCACCAGUUUGGGUUGCUCUGAUGGCUAACCUAAACUGAAUAGGGAAUCAGGAGUACUUUAGUUGGUAUUGAAAGUGGAAUGUUUACUUUCAAGCUGAAAAUCUUGCAAGUUUGGUCCUGGGAUAUUUAAUGCUCCCUUUUCUGAUUAUCUUCCAAUCAUACUAUACAUAUUUAGUUUUUUUACUUUCUCUUGACAAGUGAACUGAAUUAUUCAUGGAGAAUCUGGUUAUGGUAAAUUUUAUUAUGGAGAUUCAUCCGAUGUAAUAGAAUAGCUUUAUUUGCUAAAAUCAAUACAUAACUAUAGUGUUGUAUGGUUACAACAUGUAGAGUUUUGCAAGUGAGAGUUACAGGAAGUCACUAUUGCAAGAUGGCAUUCAGUUAACACACGUACAAUCAACUGAUCACUGUAUCUUUUUUUUUUUGCUAAUUUAAUUUGAAAAAGCUAUUGCAAACAAUUUUUUCUUCUGAAAUUAUAUACUCUGUUUAUUUCUAAUGUGAUUUUGUUACUGUUUGUAUGGUAUUUCUCUGUCUAAAUUUUUUGUUACAUAAAUCAAUCUGCAUAUAUGUGUGCAGGCUGUGAAUCGACAAACAGCCCAGAAAAUAUGGCAUGCUACAUAUCCUGUGACAGUACAUUAUCAGAAAUACUUAUAUUUUUAUAAACGCAUCUCUCAUCCAUCAUGACAUAGAUGUCAUGCGUUGCAAGUGUUCUUUUUCGUUGUCUCGCUAUGCGUUGAGUACAUGAUGGAUGAUCUAAUCGUUCAGUGUGUCAUGUGUACUCAGUCACUUGUGUCAUCUUCAGAUUUUAGAAGUCAAAAUUCUAGCUUUAGCUCUAUAUUUAAGAAUUUUUCUACGGCAAAUGCAAGAAAAAUAAAGCGUCCUUCUGUUCUCAUUCUGAGGAAGUUCUGAAAAAUUGAGGCAUUUGUAUGAAUUUCUAUUCUUCAUUAUAAAUUAUCCUUUUAAGUUUAGAAAAUAAAACAUGAUAUACUCUGUAUGUCUCUGUUCUACACUACCACUACCAUUUUAUUGCUGCAAAACGCCAAUGAAAAAGUCAUUACUAUUUUCCACGUUUUUAUACAAUCAAGCUGAAAGAGCAAUAAAAUGAUCUGUUUUCACAUCUCCUCAGAUCUUACCGAAAGGCAAUGUGCUUAUAAUGUACAUCUAGAGAACAAUAAUGUGUUUGGGAAUGAUUCAUUUGUCGACGGUCAGCAUGUGGGGUGUGAGGGACGAUACUUAUAUCACUUAGUGGCCAAGGGAAUGACAUCACAAAAGUUUAUCUAACAUCCUAGGAGAAGAUGGACACAUGUUCCUAUAUUGCUUCUCUACAAUUGCUUUCACCAUUUGAUCAUCCAUGUAAUUUAUAGCAUCCAUGGAUAGCUUAUCCUUAGGCUGUUUGUAUCCACUUAUUCCUUUUGUUGACAUGGCUAGGAGGCUAAUAUGAAUGUCACAUAGAUUGUAAUUUAACCUCCUUACAAAUAAUUAACGUUCAAACAUUCCAGUGGAGGAAUCUCAAGACUUAUAGGAAUGGUACCCCGACAAUUGUGAGCGGCACAAAGGAAGGGUCGCCAUCACCAAGGAAGUACGCUGACAAUUGUGAACUCCAAAGAGGAACAAGCUCUAUAUUUAGUGCAUUGAGUUGCUAUUUUAAAUUCUGAGAGGUGUUGAAUUUUGUCAAUUUCUAAGAUAUUGACUCGGAAGAAUUAUUAUUUUGCUUGAUGUAAACUCAGAUUAAUUUGUCAUGUCAUUUGAACCGAACAACCUUUUUGUGACAUCACUUCAUGAUUUUUGUGGGAUAUUUUUUUACAGGUAGGUUUUACUAGCUGGAGCAACGAGGGUGCCAUCGGCAGCUCCGAGUUGCAGCGGGAGCCCCGGGAGACACCGGUCCGCCGCGCCGUCAGCAGCAAGAGCCGCCCGGCCGGGCAGCCAAGCUACAGCGGGAGCCGUCGCGCCGGGCCGCCGAGCUGUGGCGUGUACCGCCACCCCACCACCAGCAGCGGGAGCCGCCACUGAUGGGGACCUAGGUCCGGUCGUCUUGCUUCCUCGGCUCCUCCAGUAGCUUCUCUCUUCGGAACAAACGUGUUGUUUCAGCACACAUUGUAUAUACUGCUUUCCUAUUUUAUUUUUAAUUAUUUUUUUGUGGGAUACUGCUUUCUUAUUUUGCUACUACCUAAUAGAAGAAGUCAUCAUCUUCAUCUA